rnacentral:lncRNA from 9 species
GGACAAAUAACCUUUCAAAACUACUAAGGAAAUAACAGGACCCAAUUUUUAAAGAAACAUCAAGCCCUGAGGGAUCAGACCAGAUAUCAGCAUGUACAACUCACCCGUAAUAUGCCCCAAGCUUCAGUGAAUAGUGACUUUAUUUUUUAAUUGUCAGAUUACUAUCCAUUUUGAUGGAUAUUAAAAAUCAGCAAAUAAACCUGUUAAUGUGGUAGAAGUUCAAAGAGUCCACCUGCUUGCUACAGAAGUAAAAGAAAAGAAAUUGGAGCAAAGGAAGUUUACGGCAGGGAUUCACUUACCAGUCUACAGCUAGAAAACACCAAAGUAAAAUUAUAUAUCUAUAGUCACACUGAGUGACAAAAUGGUAGCUGUCAUAAUGUGCCAGUUAACAUGUCCAAUACAAGCUGAUUGUUGAGUAUCCCCUGGGAAAAGAAGACAGAAACAUGACAAAGAACAAAGAACUUGGAUCAAUAAUGCUUGGGGAAAUAAGACAGAGAAGGUUAUUUACUUGCAUUGAUCCACUGCUGCUGUGGCGUAAACUUGGCCUGUUUUUCUUUUGUUAACCUUUAAGCCUGAGUCUACUCAGAGGCAACCAGGGAGCCAACUAACAGGUGUAGAUUAAGGAUCGAAGGAGGUCACCGUACCUCUGUCACCACCAGGCACCCAUGUAACAACAUCCCUGAAGAAAUUUAAACAUCAAUAGCCAUAAUAAGGGCAAAUUUAUCAAGCCCAGCCAGCUCUAGCUGGGAGCCCGUCUGCGUCCAGCCAGUUUGCCCUUGCUAAAGCUCAAUUGAUUUGGACAUUCUUUUACUAGAGUUGAUUAUCAAUUGUGACAUGGCAAAUUUGUUACCUUCCAAGUGCUGAGCGUAUGGUGGCUAGUGGAGUCUCUGAAGUGAAAACACCUGGAUUUAAGUUACCCUUCACUGAUGAAAAGAGAGAAGCAGGGGCCAGUCUUGCUCUCUGAUAGGCGGGAGGAUCUGCCCUUCCUUCCUUUGGAUGCAGUCCAGGUUGUUCUUGGAGAAGGAGAAGGUCCUCGGAAGAGCCAUUUCCAUAGGAAGGCCAUACAAGAGCUAGAGCCAAAAGCAGCACACUCUGCAACUGUUAGUCCUAACCUUUUGUGGGAAAUGAGAUAAGUAUUCCAAAGCCUUUGCUUUCAUUCUGCACAGGUGAGCUUAAUAAUUCUACUAACCUAUUCUGAAAUACAUCUUUUAAGUCAGAAGUCGUGAAGGAGAGAAAAAUCAACAGAAAAAGCCAUAUGCUCUAGUGGCCCUGGGUUACACUCCUGAGUUCUAGUCCUGGCAACUUGCUGACUGGGCCUCUAUGUCCUUCAGUUUCCUCAUUUACACACCAUAGGAAAUAAUAAAACACAUCACAUAGGUCAAGUGCUUAGAAGAGCACCACCUAUAAUUUGAUUACAUAUUUUUUGGUCUAGUUAUGCAGCAAAAGGCAUUGAAACAGAAUGUAAAGACAAAUAAACUGAUUAACAUUAGUAC